rnacentral:sRNA from 1 species
GUCGGGAGCAGUGGCGCACACCUGUAAUCCCUGUAGCUGGGGAGGCUGAGGCAGGAGGAUCAUGAGUUCAAGGCCAGCCUCAACAAUUUAGUGAGGCACUAAGCAACUCAGUGAGACCCUGUCUCUA